AUUGAACGCUGGCGGCAUGCCUUACACAUGCAAGUCGAACGGUAACAGGUCUUCGGAUGCUGACGAGUGGCGAACGGGUUAGUAAUACAUCGGAACGUGCCUAGUAGUGGGGGAUAACUACUCGUAAGAGUGUCUAAUACCGCAUGAGAUCUACGGAUGAAUGCAGGGGUUCGCAAGACUUUGUGCUACUAGAACGGCAGAUGGCGGAUUAGGUAGUUGGUGGGAUAAAAGCUGACGAAGCCGAGGAUCUGUAGCUGGGCUGGGAGGACGAACAGCCACACUGGGACUGAGAAACGGCCCAGACUCCUACGGGAGGCAGCAGUGGGGAAUUUUGGACAAUGGGCGCAAGCCUGAUCCAGCAAUGCCGCGUGAAGGAUGAAGGCCUUCGGGUUGUAAACUGCUUUUGUACGGAACGAAAAGCCCCGGGUUAAUGCCCUGGGGUCAUGACGGUACCGUAAGAAUAAGCACCGGCUAACUACGUGCCAGCAGCCGCGGUAA
rnacentral:rRNA from 1 species